CCCAGGAGCCACAAGUGGCAACCACCUUUAUUGGGCCUAAAGCGUCCGUAGCCGGUUUUGUAAAUUUUCUGUGAAAUCGUUGCGCUUAACGUAACGGCAAGCAGAAAGCACUGCAAAACUAGAGACCGGGAGGAGUUAAAAAUAUUUCUGAAAAAGCAAUAAAAUGCUAUAAUCCCAGAAGGACCACCUGUGGCGAAGGCGCCUAACUAGAACGGAUUCGACGGUGAGGGACGAAAGCUAGGGGAGCAAUCCGG
rnacentral:rRNA from 1 species